GGAGAAGUACCCAAGUGGCUGAAGGGGCUGGCUUGGAAAGCUAGUAGAUCGUUAAUCCGGUGCAGGGGUUCAAAUCCCCUCUUCUCCGCCA
rnacentral:tRNA from 1 species